rnacentral:rRNA from 11 species
AUUAAUAAGCACAAUAACCUGGAAGCACCAGAUUCUGUAUAAUUUUGGAAACGAAGUAAGGUCAGUCCUGGUUAGUAUUUGGAUUAGGGAUUGCCAAUAAAUACCAAGAACUAAAGACUU